rnacentral:lncRNA from 10 species
CUGGCUUCCUUUUACCUCAACUUGCACAUGGCCUAUCUUGGGGCUUCACCUUGUCAUCAUAUGAGUCACAAAGGCAGUCUUAGAACUCUCUUCCUGUCUUAGGAUUCUAUCAACAGAAGCUGAGCUAUUCCAGAAAGGGCCUACUAGACAGCCCUGCAUCUUAAGAAUAUCAUGCAGAAUAUUGAAGACGGACCCCUAUCUUUUACCAUUUAUGAAAAUUUACUCAACCUGGAUCCAAGAUUUUAAAUGUAAGACCUCAAACUACAAAAAUACAUAAGGCAACCUAGGAAAUAGUCUUCUAGACAUCAGCCUUGGCAAAGAAUUUUUGGCUAAGUCCCCAAAAGCAAUUGCAACAAAAACAAAAAUAGACAAGUGGGACCUAAUUAAACUAAAGAGCUUCUACACAGCAAAAUAAACUAUCAACAGAGCAGACAGACAAACUACAGAAUGGGAGAAGAUAUUUACAAACUAUGCAUCCAACAAAGGCCUAGUAUCUAGAGUCCAUAGGGAAAUUAAAUAAAUAAACAAGCAAAAAAAAAGCCCCAUUAAAAAAUGGACAAAGAACAUGAACAGACACUUCUCAAAACAAGAUAUAAAAGCAGCCAACACACAGGAAAAAAUGUUCAGCAUUAUGAAUCAUCAGAGAAAUGCAAAUCGAAACCACAAUGAGAUACCAUCUCACAGCAGAUAGAAUGACUAUUAUCAAAAAGUCAAAAAACAACAGAGGUUGGUGAGGCUGUGGAGAGAAGGGAAUGUUUAUUCACUGCUGGUAGGAAUGUAAAUUAGUCCAAUCACUGUGGAAAGUAGUCUGGAGAUUUCCCAAAUAAAUUAAAACAAAGCUACCAUUUGACCCAGCAAUUUUAUUUCUGAGUAUAUACCCAAAGGAAAAUAAAUUAUUUUACUAAAAGGACACAGGCAUGAGUAUGUUUAUAGCUACACUAUCCACAAUAGCAAAGACAUGGAAUCAACCCAGGUUCCCAUCAAUGGUAGAUUGGUGGUACGUAUAUACCACGGAAUACUAUGCAGCCCUAAAAAAUAAUGAAAUCAUAUCCUUUGCAGCAACAUGGAUGCAGCUGGAAGCCAUGAUCCUAAGUGAAUUAAUGCAGGGAGGAACAGAAAACCAAAUAAUGUAUAUUCUCACUUAAAAGUGAAAACUAAACAAUGAGCACAUGCGGACAUAAAUAUGGGAACAAUAGACACUGUGGACUACCAGAGGGGAAAAGGUUCGGGGGAGAGCCUGGAAUGAAAAACUACCUAGUGGGUACUAUGCUCACUGCCUGAAUGAUGGGAUCCAUACUCCAAACCUCAGCAUCAGGCAAUAUUCCUAUGUAACAAACCUGGACAUGUAUUCUAUGUUUCUAAAAUAAAAGUUGACAUUAAAAGAAGAUAUCAUGGCGAUUCCUCAAGGAUCUAGAACUAGAAAUACUAUUUGACCCAGUCAUCCCAUUACUGCGUAUAUACCCAAAGGAUUAUAAAUCAUGCUGCUAUAAAGACACAUGCACACAUAUGUUUAUUGCAGCAUUAUUCACAAUAGCAAAGACUUGGAACCAACCCAAAUGUCCCUCAAUGAUAGACUGGAUUAAGAAAAUGUGGCACAUAUACACCAUGCAAUACUAUGCAGCCAUGAAAAAGGAUAAGUUCAUGUCCUUUGUAGGAACAUGGAUGAAGCUGGAAACCAUCAUUCUGAGCAAACUAUUGCAAGGACAGAAAACCAAACACCACAUGUUCUCACUCAUAGGUGGGAAUUGAACAAUGAGAACACUUGAACGCGG